rnacentral:rRNA from 1 species
AUGGCAUACAAAUCACUUGUGGAUCUUGUGGGCUUAAGGGACACAAUAAAAGUGGUUGUAAGAAGAAUGCAGAUAGAACCCAGAAAACUAAAUCAUUUCUUGGAAAAAGAGGGAGAAAGCAAAGGGAAAUAUAGCAAGCUCGGACUGAUGGAUCAAAAUCAUCAGCUCCAACUAGGUCUAAAGCUCCAAGAACUAGAGCUCCAACAACAAGCUUUCAACCUCCUAGAACUACAGCACCAAGCUCUCAACAUGGCACAUCAGCAUCUCAAGAUCCAAUAA